GGGGGAUUUUCCUUUGAUACUUACUAUGAGAACCUGAUCAAGCCCCGGGAGAUAAAACUCACAAAAGUAUGAGAACUUCUCUAUGACUGGGUUUCUCUGGAAUUGUUUUUAACUCCCAGACUUGUCCACACAUAGCCUGCAGCAAUUUGACAAUUACAGUUCAGGAUUUCCUACCCAAGGACUGGUUUCCGAGGCAGUUGCCACCAAGUCUUUGGCAAAAAGUACUGAAUACAUCUUUUGGAAAAAUGAAAAGUGAUAAAAGAACAUUUCAUGCUGAAAGCAUAGCAAGAAAAUCCCAGAUAUACAAACAAAAGCUUGAGAGGCUCCACGGGCUUUUCCUCCUGGCUGGAUGAUCAGAAACUUCCAUGGUCUGUAUCAUGCUACACCCUCGGGUAUAAAUCGGAAACCCCAAUCUAGCGCAUCUCAACAGACACCUUUUGAUAGAUGCUUACUUUGUCUUGAAAUUGUACUUUAUUAGUCAUAGGGGAGUAGGCAAAUCCAUCAUUAACAAUGAUAAUAAAAAUAGUCUACCAAAGUUGGAUAAUAUAAUCAUCUUCA
rnacentral:lncRNA from 10 species